GAGAGAACCAUCACUCAUCAGGUCAGUGUCAAUAGCUGUAAAAGGACCAAAAACCGCCAUUAAAUACUCCAUCUAUGCAGCAGGCACAGUACUACAGGCCGAACUCCGAAGAGAGAGGUGCAUGAUCAUAAAGCAUGCAUAAAGCAUUUAUAUAGAUGGAGAGGGCCGAGUCACGAGGCCGGUCCCCUCCAUAAGAGCCAGCGUGCAUAUCCCGCGCCUUCUUUUGGCAAUCUUAAUGGAAGAGUGAAUUCAGCUAAUUCCGGUGUUCCUUAAAGCUGCUUAAUUUCCAACAGAGGCCGGCCAUGAGAUGCUAUUCCUUAAUUUUUUUUUUUUUUUCUUCCGUUCGUCGAUCUCACGUACGUGUCUGUCUGGUAUAUGUUGGUUAUUGAGAGGUUGAAGCUGCCAGCAUGAUCUGGUAAGAACCUAUCCCUCCGAGACUACUCUAGGGCAAAUCUUGCACCGGAAAAUUUAGCUAUAUAUAUAUAUAUAUAGAUCAUCUCCAGCUUUAGAUCACCAAUUCUCUUUCUUGCUUCCAUUCUCAUCGAUCGUGUGAUAUAUAUUUGAGGGUAUAUAUAUAUAUAGGCAUUUAGUUUAGGUUUUUCAAAGGGGUUUUCGAGUAAGCUAAAAGGGAUUCAAAUAACACACUAGAAAUUAGAUCUCAUUCCACUUGAUCUGCUAGCUAGCUUCGUAGAUAUGGUUCCAAUAUCAGGUCAUCCUGCAGCUUCAAUCACUCACUUCCAACAAAAGGAAGAAGCUUUUGCAUUCAUGUUUAUAUAUCUGUGUAUAUAUGACAUCUUUUGAGGGUGCAUAUAUAUAUAAUUGAUGGUCCAUAGCUCGCAAAUGCAUUCCAGAUGAGAAGCUCUCUGAAGGCCAGGGUAGCGAGCGGCUGCUACAUACGCGUGUACGUACUUUCGUAUAUAAGAUCGAUGAUGAAAGCAAGCCAGCUAGCUACUGUUUUUCGCCUAUAAGAUUUUGAUAUAAAUACGUAAGUAAUUAGAGUUCUGAUCAUCAAUUUGUGUGCUGAAGCAGAAAGCAGAAGAUUGUAAUAUUAGUCAUUAGUCAUUCAUGAUUUUUUCUACACACACAUAUGAUGAGUACUACUGGCCGGACUAGUUCUGAUCUUGUUCAUGAGAAUCUAAUUCGCCAGUACCAGAUCAUGAUGAUGGUACGUACUGGAUAUAUUUCUAUCUAUCAGAAUAUUGUAUGGUCAUUAGUCAUUCA